rnacentral:rRNA from 1 species
UACGUAGGAUCCAAGCGUUGUCCGGAUUUACUGGGUGUAAAGGGUGCGCAGGCGGACUGGUUAGUCUGGGGUGAAAUCUCAUCGCUCAACGGUGAAACUGCCUUAGAUACUGCCAGUCUUGAAUUAGGGAGAGGUUCGUGGAAUUCCGAGUGUAGCAGUGAAAUGUGUAGAUAUUCGGAAGAACACCAGUGGCGAAGGCAGCGAACUGGCCCUUAAUUGACGCUCAGGCACGAAAGCAUGGGGAUCAAACAGG